rnacentral:rRNA from 1 species
UACGAAGGGGGCUAGCGUUGUUCGGAAUCACUGGGCGUAAAGCGCACGCAGGCGGAUUGAUAAGUCGGGGGUGAAAUCCCGGGGCUUAACCUCGGAAUUGCCUUCGAUACUGUCUGUCUUGAGUUCGGGAGAGGUUGGCGGAAUUCCUAGUGUAGAGGUGAAAUUCGUAGAUAUUAGGAAGAACACCAGUGGCGAAGGCGGCCAACUGGCCCGAAACUGACGCUCAUGUGCGAAAGCGUGGGGAGCAAACAGG